AUAUCUACAAAUAUUAUUGACUAAUGGAGGGAGGUAAUAAAAUAUUCACUCAAACAAUUUAAUUUUUUAAGUGUGGAUUUCACUUUUUAAUGAUUAAAUCCAUAUUUUGUAUAGUUAUUCAAUGAUUCAUAUCCAAUGUAGAUAAAAGAAGGUUAAAACCACUUAGGCGUCCCUGUUUUCGUAAGGUCUUCUCAUUUUGGUCCCGUUCUUAUAAAACUUCCCAAUUAGGUCCUCAAAAGUGCUAAUUUGAAGCAAUUCAGUCCCUACCGUUAAAAAUCGUUAACGGCCGUUUAAAUAUUAAUGACGUGACAUUAUAAAUUAAUUUUAUAUGAAUAAUUAUUAAUAAAUAUUUGUGUGACCAGAAUUUUAGAAGGGUAAAUUUGGAAUAGAAAAUAAUUUCUUCUUCCUUGGGUUCCUUCUGAUCCUAAGCUGUGAACUACCCAAACAUAGCUCCCACUUCAUCUUCUUCCUCCGCAAAAGCCAAAGUUCAUCUUCUUCCUCAAACCAACCCCAAAACAGAAAUUUGCAUAUCUCAGAAUUUCAAUCUUUUUCCUCAGACCGAACAAAAAUAAUCAAAUCCUUUAUAAAACCCUAAUUUCGAUCUUUUUCCCCAAUUCAAUUUGGGAUUUUUCUUAUCCUUUCCGACUUGGUUUGGUCUGCUUACAGGGGAACCAUUCUUCUUCCCCUUCGUUUUCCUCUUCUAGGUCUCUUGGUCAAGCCGUAGAGCCUGCCACUCUUUGUCAAGCCCGCCACCGUCACAGUAGAGCCCGCCGCCAACGCUGCCAAGAGCCGAUGGAGCUUCAUAGGGUCAGUGGCGCUUCUCCCUCUGCUUCUUUUGUUCUGAUAAUUGUAGCCAUCUCCCUGUAUUGGGUUUCGUCUUCUGUAUGUAUCUACUGUGUGAUGAACCGGAAGAGAGGAUUUGAUGCUUCGAAUCCAAGAAUUUGGAUGGAUUGGUGUGUGAUGAUGGGGAAGCGUAGUGGAGAUUAGGGGGCUGAUUUGGUCUUCUCAGUUUUGAUUUGAAUCUAUUGGAUGCAUACAGAGGGUGGGAGAGUUUGAGCGUGAGGGAAGAUGGUGCUUCUUGUGCCCGAGUUGAAGAUGAUGGGCGAAUCAAAUUCCUUAUGUUUAAUGGAUGAAAUUGGCUCCAGUAGGGUGUCGAACGAAAUUUCAAUUUGCAUUUUGAGAAGUUUCGUUCUUGUUUCCCAGUUUACGUUUUGAG
rnacentral:lncRNA from 1 species